GACCCGGUGAAGAGGGCAGGGAGCUGGGGCAGCCUGCUGUGCGGAGCUGGGGGAGGAGGAGGGAGCCCUGGGGGACAGACAGAAGGACCAUCGAAGGAGAAACCCUGCUGGCCUCGGGACCUGGAGGAAAGAACCAGGGCCCGUGCUCCUUGGGCCAGGAUCCGGCGAUUGGACGGAACCUCUCGGAUUCCCCAGUGCUGUGAAAUCCACUUGGGGCCAUCACACCCUUCAUUGCUGUGCUCCCUGGCAGAACUCGAAUGCAGCGUGAGCUGGGCACUUUUCCCAGGGUUUGCUCUAGGUCUGGGUCUCCCAUCAGCUCCCCCGGAGCAGAGCCUGAGGCAAGGAUUCUUGUUCGGGGGCAUCUUCCUCUCAGCACCGUGCUUUGGGAAUCGAGUGAUGGUGCUGAGUGAACCCCUGAGUGAACAUCUGUGGCUUCCUCCCACCUCGUCUCUGGAUGCACUCCUGUUCGAAUGGUACCUGAUCUUCUUCUGUGUGAGAAUUUUCUCUGGGCACAGUCUGUCCAGGAGGGGACACGAGUACCCCUAAUUUCACUAAGUGUGGCUGAAUUAUCUUCCAGGGUGUCUGUACAUGCUUGUCCCCUCCCCACGGUGGCGUGCUCAAUGGUGGCUCCCCACAGAUAUGUCCGUGUCCUAAUUCCCGGAGCCUUUGGGUCUCAUGUAGCCAAUGAUGUGAAAAAGUGAAGGAUGCUGAGAGGAGAUCAUCCAGAUGUCUUAGAGGAUAAAAAUGAGCGGGCAGAUGAAGAGAUACUCAGGGUGAGGUUUGGAAGGUGCACCAGGCCCACCCCAUGGAUGUGGCUCAGAGAGCCUGGGAAACGUGAGGUCUGUGACCUGGAUCAGGCCCAGAGAGACCUGAGCAGGAGGCGUGUGAAGCCCCUGCGCCUGUGCGAGGAGGGAAGCUGUUUCAGGGAAUUUGCCUUUCUUUCCCUGUAGUUUCAGACUAGCUGAUAAAUUACCUAAAAUGUUACCACAAGAUGCACAAUGUAACCAUCACUCAUUAU
ensembl:lncRNA novel transcript